ACUGCAUAGAGCGAUGACAAAACAUCUCAGUCUUUUGCUUGCCAUCUUGGUCAUUGUCAAUAAAACAUUAAACACUGAAGAGGAGCUGAAGGAAACUGGGACAGCAGUUACAGUGCUUCACCAUAGGGAACCUUCACUACCGGCACUCUAAGAUGUUCCCUAUGAAUCUGUCACUAAUGACUCUUGUCGAUUUGGGCACCAGCGUCAGGCGCCCUAGUGUUCUUGACAGCUUGGGAAAAGCACCUGUCAAGCCUCUGAAGACGGUCUCAGCGUCUGUGCCCUGGUGGCAGGAUGAUAAUGACAUUGAAGAGGCACCAGGCAAGCCUUAACAUGAAACCCGCAGGGCAAGCGGAAAAGAGGCAGGCCAAGAAACACAUGGCGUCGAGAACUGGAGGCAGAUAUAAAGAACAUGAAUAUUACCUGGAACCAACUAGAGAAGAGACCCCAGGACAGAGACUCUUGGAGAUCCCUAAUUGGCGGCCUAUGCCCCAAAAGUCUCUGAGGAAGACGCCAUCCAUUAAGUGGACGAAGAACAGCCGAAGGAGCUAUUCUUGGAGGAUGAAGGGAAUAGAGACCAAGUCAUAUUUAGUAGAGACAGUCUUGAGACUGAAGAGGAGAAGAAAUGGAUUCAAUACAUGA
rnacentral:lncRNA from 1 species